GCGGGGGUGCCCGAGCAUGGUCAAAGGGGACGGGCUUAGGCCCCGUUGGCGUAGGCCUGCGUGGGUUCAAGUCCCACCCCCCGCA
rnacentral:tRNA from 2 species